rnacentral:rRNA from 1 species
UUUUCCACUCUAGGAAAGUGGGUUAAGGGGCUUCCAAGUGUCUAUGCAUUGCAUAGGCUUUUGCCAAGAAUAAAUAACUUGGGAAAUAAGUGGUGGGUAAGACGGGUCCCAGCCGCCGCGGUAACACCUGCGCCACGAGUGGCAAUCAUGUUUAUUGGGCCUAAAGCGUCCGUAGCCGGUUUAGUAAGUCUUGAGUGAAAUCGUUGCGCUUAACAAAACGACGUGCAGGGGAUACUGCUUGUCUUGGGACCGGGAGGCGUCAAGGGUAUUCCUGAGGGAGCGGUUAAAUGCUAUAAUCUCAGGAGGACCACCUGUGGCGAAGGCGCUUAACGAGAACGGGUCUGACGGUGAGGGACGAAAGCUAGGGGAGCAAACCGGA